AAUAAGUGCAUUUUUGCACUAUUCACGUUCAACGUUUGACCGUUCAUCUUAUUUGAUUAGUAUUUCUAUUGCUAUUAGAAGAUAAAACAUGAAUAGUACUUUAUGUGUGACUAAAUAUUUUCAAAUUUUUCACAAAUUUUUCAAAUAACACGGACAGUCAAAUGUUGGGCACAAAUAUCCACUGCUGCACUUAUU
rfam:Oryza sativa Indica Group cultivar 93-11 Ctg041217, whole genome shotgun sequence.